rnacentral:rRNA from 1 species
UACAGAGGUGGCAAGCGUUGUUCGGAAUUACUGGGCGUAAAGGGCGCGUAGGCGGUCUUGUAAGUCUUGUGUGAAAUCCCUCGGCUUAACUGAGGAACUGCACGGGAUACUGCGAGACUUGAGUUCGGGAGAGGGAAGCGGAAUUCCGGGUGUAGCGGUGAAAUGCGUAGAUAUCCGGAGGAACACCGGUGGCGAAGGCGACUUACUGGACACAUAUUGACGCUGAGGUGCGAAAGCGUGGGGAGCAAACAGG